CUGCGGAGGGAUCAUUA
rnacentral:rRNA from 103 species